rnacentral:lncRNA from 1 species
AGACGGUUCAAGAGAAGGAUCAUCUGGUAUUUGAUCUCAUUAAAUCUGGUGAGUUAAACUCUGAAGUGUGUCCCAAGCAUCUCAUUGAAAUACAAAGAUGAAUCAAAGUAUUCGUGAAUCCUGCACCAUGUAGGACUACUGAUAUGUCCAUUAAUAGCAAAUUGGCAUCUUAAAGUUCAUUCUUGAAAGUACUGAAAUCUGCAAAUGUUACCUCUCGUCAUUUAGAAAAGGCAAUGACUGAUAAAGCACUUGAGCUUCAAGCUGAAGUAGAGAAUGCAGAAUCAGAGAUAUCCACCUUGUUCGCCAAAAUUGGUUCGUCUUACUAUUUCUUAUGUUCUUUAUCUGGC